AAUACUGUAUGUUUGAAGCUUUAUGCCUAAUAUUAUUUUUUAAUGUAAAUUUAUGUUCUUUUGCACUAUUAUGUCGUAUACGUCGCUCCUGAAUUGCAUUAAUUAUUUAAACUAAAAUGGAUUACAUUAAUAAUCAAUUUAAUUGAUAAUAAUGAUACUUAAGUUGUUUACAUAUUUGCAAUUGGUACAGAAAAGGAUUGCAUUUCAAGACAAACAAUACAUGCAGUCUAAUAAAUUAAAAUAAUAUAUUAUUAUAUACAUAUUUUGAUAAAAAAUAAUAUUAAACUCAAAGAUCCAGUCUUGAUCACUUUGAUAGAAAUAUAUUAAUGAAAUAUUUCACAGAAACUUUUAUAUUUGAUCCCUUUUCUCUUGUCAUAUGGCAAACGUGGAAGAACAUGGGAGAACGCUACGUUACUAUCAGACUGGGGCCCUAUUCUUGAAAUAGUUGCGCAUACGUAAAUAGCAAGUUGCGAAUGAUCGCAAUGGAAAAUCCCUAGAACGGUAUUCUUGACUGUCGCAAGCAGUAACGUAUACGCAAUUUUUCGUGUACGAUGCAACGAAUGGUUCAGACCAUUCGUUUCAUGAGAAACGUAUACGUUUCGAUGAUGAAAAGCAAUAGUAAAAGCCUCCGCGUACCAUUACAUAUUAGUCAGCCAACAGUCUCCCGCUGCAUCCACAAAAUUAUUGAUGUUGUAACAAGAGAAGAAAUAAUGAAACAGGAUUAAGUUUCCCAGUACGUUAGCAGAAUUGAACACGUUAUCCUGGAAGCACUCGCAAUACAUUUAUAUGGAAUAACUUAUAUGCAAAAAACGUGCUAUGGUUUAUCUCUACAGGCGCUAUCCACACAACAAUUUGCUUUUAGUAGGUGAUUCAAGGUAUUCUCUCAGGCCUUGGAUGAUGACUCCUAUAAUAGGUGCUAUUAAAGGUAGUCCAGAAGCUGAAUAUAAUACCAAACAAAUGAGAUGUCGUGCAUUAAUAGAAUAAUGCAAUGGAGUUCUGAAAAUGCGGUUUAGAUGUCUAUUGAAGUAUAGAAUACUCCAUUACUCUCCACCAAUAGCAUCUAAAAUUAUAUAUACAUGUGCUGUUUUACAUAAUAUGUACAUUACCCAAAAUGUGUCACUGAAUCUAAAUGACGAUAAUGAAGAUGUAGAUUUUGGGAUGUAUAAUAACAAAAAUCGUAUUGAAAAUGAAAAAAACGUCCGUAGAAUUGAUUUAAAUAUGGCAGCUGGUAGAAAUAAACAGCAACUAAUGAUUGCAAAUUACUUCUCGUAAAUUAUAAGUAUCGUUUAUCAUUUAGUAUAGUUUUUAUCAAUAGUGGAUUCAUAUUAAUUAGGAAUAUAUCAUAUUUUAAGUCAAAAAUUUUUCUUUAUUCUUACAAUGUAUAUGAAUACAAAUAAAACAUAUAUAAUAUAUAAAAGAAUUAUAUAAAAGACUUUUAAAUAUUAUAACGUAUUCUUCAUGGCAUGUAACAUUCCCACUUUUAAACAUUUAUUAAAAUGUAAAAUAAAAUUAAUUCUU